AACUAGUGGUGGCUCCUUCAGCUUGGGUCCUGAGGUGUGAGGAAGGGCUCUCUGACCUGUAGUGAACACGUCAUUUUGAGACUCCUGACUUUGUUCAAGUAUGGCGAGGAGGCAAGGAUGCU
rnacentral:lncRNA from 1 species